rnacentral:rRNA from 1 species
CCUACGGGAGGCAGCAGUGAGGAAUAUUGGUCAAUGGCCGGAAGGCUGAACCAGCCAAGUCGCGUGAGGGAAUAAGGCCCUAUGGGUCGUAAACCUCUUUUGUCAGGGAGCAAAGGCGUCCACGAGUGGACGAAAGGAGAGUACCUGACGAAACAGCAUCGGCUAACUCCGGGCCAGCAGCCGCGGUAAUACGGGGGAUGGGAGCGUUAGCCGGAUUUAUUGGGUUUAAAGGGUGCGUAGGCGGCGUGUCAAGUCAGCGGUAAAAUUUCGGGUCUCAACCCCGUCGUGCCGUUGAAACUGACACCCUUGAGUGAGUGAGAAGUAAGCGGAAUGCGUGGUGUAGCGGUGAAAUGCAUAGAUAUCACGCAGAACGCCGAUGGCGAAGGCAGCUUACCGGCGCUCAACUGACGCUGAGGCACGAAAGUGCGGGUAUCGAACAGGAUUAGAUACCCCUGUAGUC